CCAUCACAACUUGAUGGAAAGGAUUUUUAUAGUCUGAUGAGUAGGGAAGUUCUGCUAUCCUGCUGGAUUUAGAAUCUGCAGAGCACAGCAAAAAUCUUCAAUUUGUAAAAGAAGAGGGUACACUUCAGUCACCCUUCUUCACCAGAGAGCCUGCAGGAGGGAG